UACGUAGGGUGCGAGCGUUGUCCGGAAUUAUUGGGCGUAAAGGGCUCGUAGGCGGUUUGUCGCGUCGGGAGUGAAAUCCACUGGCUUAACUGGUGGCUUGCUUUCGAUACGGGCAGACUGGAGGUAUGCAGGGGAAAACGGAAUUCCUGGUGUAGCGGUGAAAUGCGCAGAUAUCAGGAGGAACACCGGUGGCGAAGGCGGUUCUCUGGGCAUGUCCUGACGCUGAGGAGCGAAAGUGUGGGGAGCGAACAGG
rnacentral:rRNA from 1 species